GGUUAAGCGACUAAGCGUACACGGUGGAUGCCCUGGCAGUCAGAGGCGAUGAAGGACGUGCUAAUCUGCGAUAAGCGUCGGUAAGGUGAUAUGAACCGUUAUAACCGGCGAUUUCCGAAUGGGGAAACCCAGUGUGUUUCGACACACUAUCAUUAACUGAAUCCAUAGGUUAAUGAGGCGAACCGGGGGAACUGAAACAUCUAAGUACCCCGAGGAAAAGAAAUCAACCGAGAUUCCCCCAGUAGCGGCGAGCGAACGGGGAGCAGCCCAGAGCCUGAAUCAGUGUGUGUGUUAGUGGAAGCGUCUGGAAAGGCGCGCGAUACAGGGUGACAGCCCCGUACACAAAAAUGCACAUGCUGUGAGCUCGAUGAGUAGGGCGGGACACGUGGUAUCCUGUCUGAAUAUGGGGGGACCAUCCUCCAAGGCUAAAUACUCCUGACUGACCGAUAGUGAACCAGUACCGUGAGGGAAAGGCGAAAAGAACCCCGGCGAGGGGAGUGAAAAAGAACCUGAAACCGUGUACGUACAAGCAGUGGGAGCACGCUUAGGCGUGUGACUGCGUACCUUUUGUAUAAUGGGUCAGCGACUUAUAUUCUGUAGCAAGGUUAACCGAAUAGGGGAGCCGAAGGGAAACCGAGUCUUAACUGGGCGUUAAGUUGCAGGGUAUAGACCCGAAACCCGGUGAUCUAGCCAUGGGCAGGUUGAAGGUUGGGUAACACUAACUGGAGGACCGAACCGACUAAUGUUGAAAAAUUAGCGGAUGACUUGUGGCUGGGGGUGAAAGGCCAAUCAAACCGGGAGAUAGCUGGUUCUCCCCGAAAGCUAUUUAGGUAGCGCCUCGUGAAUUCAUCUCCGGGGGUAGAGCACUGUUUCGGCAAGGGGGUCAUCCCGACUUACCAACCCGAUGCAAACUACGAAUACCGGAGAAUGUUAUCACGGGAGACACACGGCGGGUGCUAACGUCCGUCGUGAAGAGGGAAACAACCCAGACCGCCAGCUAAGGUCCCAAAGUCAUGGUUAAGUGGGAAACGAUGUGGGAAGGCCCAGACAGCCAGGAUGUUGGCUUAGAAGCAGCCAUCAUUUAAAGAAAGCGUAAUAGCUCACUGGUCGAGUCGGCCUGCGCGGAAGAUGUAACGGGGCUAAACCAUGCACCGAAGCUGCGGCAGCGACGCUGAUGCGUUGUUGGGUAGGGGAGCGUUCUGUAAGCCUGCGAAGGUGUGCUGUGAGGCAUGCUGGAGGUAUCAGAAGUGCGAAUGCUGACAUAAGUAACGAUAAAGCGGGUGAAAAGCCCGCUCGCCGGAAGACCAAGGGUUCCUGUCCAACGUUAAUCGGGGCAGGGUGAGUCGACCCCUAAGGCGAGGCCGAAAGGCGUAGUCGAUGGGAAACAGGUUAAUAUUCCUGUACUUGGUGUUACUGCGAAGGGGGGACGGAGAAGGCUAUGUUGGCCGGGCGACGGUUGUCCCGGUUUAAGCGUGUAGGCUGGUUUUCCAGGCAAAUCCGGAAAAUCAAGGCUGAGGCGUGAUGACGAGGCACUACGGUGCUGAAGCAACAAAUGCCCUGCUUCCAGGAAAAGCCUCUAAGCAUCAGGUAACAUCAAAUCGUACCCCAAACCGACACAGGUGGUCAGGUAGAGAAUACCAAGGCGCUUGAGAGAACUCGGGUGAAGGAACUAGGCAAAAUGGUGCCGUAACUUCGGGAGAAGGCACGCUGAUAUGUAGGUGAAGUCCCUCGCGGAUGGAGCUGAAAUCAGUCGAAGAUACCAGCUGGCUGCAACUGUUUAUUAAAAACACAGCACUGUGCAAACACGAAAGUGGACGUAUACGGUGUGACGCCUGCCCGGUGCCGGAAGGUUAAUUGAUGGGGUUAGCGCAAGCGAAGCUCUUGAUCGAAGCCCCGGUAAACGGCGGCCGUAACUAUAACGGUCCUAAGGUAGCGAAAUUCCUUGUCGGGUAAGUUCCGACCUGCACGAAUGGCGUAAUGAUGGCCAGGCUGUCUCCACCCGAGACUCAGUGAAAUUGAACUCGCUGUGAAGAUGCAGUGUACCCGCGGCAAGACGGAAAGACCCCGUGAACCUUUACUAUAGCUUGACACUGAACAUUGAGCCUUGAUGUGUAGGAUAGGUGGGAGGCUUUGAAGUGUGGACGCCAGUCUGCAUGGAGCCGACCUUGAAAUACCACCCUUUAAUGUUUGAUGUUCUAACGUGGACCCGUAAUCCGGGUUGCGGACAGUGUCUGGUGGGUAGUUUGACUGGGGCGGUCUCCUCCUAAAGAGUAACGGAGGAGCACGAAGGUUGGCUAAUCCUGGUCGGACAUCAGGAGGUUAGUGCAAUGGCAUAAGCCAGCUUGACUGCGAGCGUGACGGCGCGAGCAGGUGCGAAAGCAGGUCAUAGUGAUCCGGUGGUUCUGAAUGGAAGGGCCAUCGCUCAACGGAUAAAAGGUACUCCGGGGAUAACAGGCUGAUACCGCCCAAGAGUUCAUAUCGACGGCGGUGUUUGGCACCUCGAUGUCGGCUCAUCACAUCCUGGGGCUGAAGUAGGUCCCAAGGGUAUGGCUGUUCGCCAUUUAAAGUGGUACGCGAGCUGGGUUUAGAACGUCGUGAGACAGUUCGGUCCCUA
rnacentral:rRNA from 1 species